GGGACACACUGGAGAUGGCCAAGGCCAUCUGGCAUCUACUUUUCUCCACCAAAAACCUGAGGUGGACCACACUGCACAGACCCUCCUGACAAUGGACAAUAUUAUACAAGUGUCUGAUGUGAUGAGAGCACUGUGUCCACCAUUCACUGAGGAGGAGCAUGGAGAGGAGGAAACCAACCAGCUUCCUGAUGGAAUCUACUUUCUCUUCCUUCCUCCCCUGCAGGUCCAAGGGCUGUAUGAGGCAGAGCAGAGGGGGAAAGAGAGGGCAAGGACAUGAAGAAAGGAUGCUCCUCGGUUGUACACCGCUCUGCAUUCAUGGUAAGCUUUUCAGUUUCUAUUUCACCUUUCAUUUAGAGUUUUAUUUGGUGGUGCACUGCCUCAUCUCUUGUGUGUGGAGUUUCAUCCAAGGAGCUGUGACUGUUCCUUCCUGAGCGUGCAGCACGGGGAAGGUACGCCGGGUCACCUCACUUUCCUCUCUCAACCAAUAACACAACAUAUUCUGACUGUCAAUCCCCAACAAACAGCCACCCUCCUCAGAGUCUUUUUGUGCCACCCAGACUGAGAGUUUGAACGCACGCACAAACCCUAACCGUCCUGUAUCAGCAAACCACAGAGCCACUAACACCCACGUUGUUCUUUUAUUUUCUGACAAAUGUCUGUCUUUACUCUUCUGUUCUGUACACAUUCUUUCUGUCUUUGUCCUGUUGUUCUGUAUUUUGUUUCUCGUGUUAAAAUAAUAAAAGAAAACUCAAGAACAUCCUCAGAAUUUAGAUCAGGCCAAUGUUUUUGUCUCACUAGAAUCACAGAACUAUUUACAGAACAAGGUUUUUUUAAUAAAAGUUGCUAUAUUUUCUUAAAUACAGACACAUUUUACACAUUUGAUACUUAUUAAAAGUAAAUUAUCUGUUCUCAUGUCAGCCGAGCACUCCCUCAGCCCUACUGCACAGCUUUGCACUGAACCGUGCUCCAGCAUUCUUUAAACACAGUUGGUUCCUCCUAGACCGGCUCCACUGGAAGAACCACAUUGACAGGUUCCAGCUUCCAGUCCAACCCUCAGCCCCAGGUUCACACCCACCAGCCCAAGCUUGCCCAGGUCUGCACUCCCUCUCCCCCUCUUUUCAAUAAACACUAGUUUCCUAUUAA